GUCUAUGGUCAUGUGACCCUGAACGUGCCCAGUCCCAUCUGGUCUUGGAAGCUAAGCAGGGUCAGGUCUGGUUAGUACUUGAAUGGGAGGAAGACUGCACAGUAUCAGUUCCUUUUGGAAGAAAGGGGGCUGACU
rnacentral:rRNA from 1 species